rnacentral:misc_RNA from 1 species
UUUCCGUAGGUGAACCUGCGGGAGGAUCAUUAUUGUAUAACCGAGGUGCGAGGGCUGUCGCUGACCCGAAAGGUCCUGCACGCCCGAGUGCCCUCACACACAUCCAACUCACCCCUAUGUGCACCACCGCGUGGGUCCCCCUUUGGCUUGUUCGGAGGGGGGCUUACGUUUUCACACAAACUUUGUAUGCAGUGUAGAAUGUAUUUUUUGUUUUUGCGAUCACGCAAUCAAUACAACUUUCAACAACGGAUCUCUUGGCUCUC